GGAGACCGUGGAAGGUGGUACUAAGAAGAGCAGAGGGGUGAAGAAUGGAACCAGUUCAGUAAAGGCUUUUCUGAAGAAGAGGGUUUUGAGUCUGGAUUUGAAGGAGUGUAGAGAAGGUGACUCUCUAAUAUCCUUGGGGAAUACAAAUAUUUUGAUCAGCUUUUCAGCCAGAGUUAAUGAUAGCAUAGGGCGGAGUCUUGCGAUAUUUCUAAGGUGAAAAAAAGAUGUUUUGACAGUAUGCUGUACAUGUGGGUCGAAUGUUAAGCCAGAAUCGAAUAUAACCCCCAAGGUUUUUCAAUUUUGAUUGAAGCUCAAGUACAGAGCCAUCUACAGACAGGGUUACAGGACUGGCUUUACGAAGUUGAUGGGGGGUACCAAUAAGCAUGACUUCUGAGGGACGGGUUGAUACCAGGGAUAGAUGUAUCGCCGUCACUCCGGGGACACACUAGGGGAGGUUGCCAUGACCAGCAACGCUCUUUUAUCACCGAAUCCUGAAAUCGGAGAUUUAAAAAAACGUAUCCCCUUUAAUUUAAUGUUAGUAAUGAUUUCUUCUAGUGCUGAUUCUUUUUUUUUUAUUUGAAUCCAUUCAGAGUUUUGAAGAUUUGCUUUCUUUAAAUUAAAAUUGCCCUCUCCCCUCCCAAAAAUAAGUGGGCAGUGACCUUUCGUUGACCCUGGACUGUUCCAUUACCCAUGAACGGGGGGUAGGGAGGGCAGGGUAUUUGUGGCACUAUGUGUACUGUCGCGACCUGCACUGUAAAUACAGGUUGUUAUGAUCAUAAACCCACAAACCUGCGUCUUCAUCUCCUUGAAACAACUUCUGCCCCGACCCCUCUCUCAAACACCCGUUCCCUUUCCCAUCCCAUCAGAAGGGCAUCUGUAGCAUUAAGGAACAAACUGUCAUCUGUCCAUGACCUCACCACCCCUUCCGGUACAGGAUGGAGGGGCACCAGGAGCCUAUCCCAGCAAGCAGCGGGAGCAAGGCAGGGUACUCUCGGGAUGGGACACAAGUCCAUCGCAGGACACACACAGACACAGACACACACUCACGCCUGGGCCAGUUUCCCCAGAACACACCUGAAUCUCUUUGAACUGCGGAAGACACCAGAGCACCUGGAGGAAUGCCACACGAGCACAGGGAGAACAUGCAGACUCCACACACACACACAGCACCCCAGGGCCCCUGGCUGGGAGGCAGCAGUGCUGACCCCUGCACUGCCCAGGAACUGCCAUAGUAGCGGAAACAGACGUGGCUUCAAGGCCCGAAGUUCCGCUUCAAUCCCCAGUCGGCGCCGCUCCCUUCGUCUCUCUGGCGAAGGGGCGCGGCGUCAGGCCGUUGGUCACGGAGGCGGGGCGAGACGGGGUGGCGGACGAGGAGAGUACCGGCAGGUUCGCCCAGGGGCGUCGGUUCGCUCCCCCGCCCUGUGUUGUUGUCGUGUGUUGCCACGGCGCCGCGGUGUGUUGCUCUCGCUGUCUAACCCUAACCCUAGCGCGGUGCCAGAUGGCCGNNNNNNNNNNNNNNNNNNNNNNNNNNNNNNNNNNNNNNNNNNNNNNNNNNNNNNNNNNNNNNNNNNNNNNNNNNNNNNNNNNNNNNNNNNNNNNNNNNNNCCGUCUCCAGCUUUGCUCUUUGUCCCCGACCUCCUUCCUGGCUUUUUUCUCCUGUUCGCCCUUCCGCUCCUCCUCCCUCGGAGCUCUCCUCUUCCUCUUCCUCUGGUGUGGAACCCCUGCUCCUGGGCGCUUGGCCGCGGCGAUAGGUGCGCCUCCUCUCCCAGAUCCCCCAGCUGGGUGACCCCUCGCUUCGCAGUUCGGCUUCCGUCGUGCAAACUCGACAGGAUGAAAGCCCUCUCUCUCUCUCCCCCCCCCAGGGGCGUCCGGGCCGCGGCAGGGGAUCGUGAUGAAUCCAGCCAAGGAGAGGUUCUUCCACAAGCUGGCCCUGUACGAAGAAGGGAGGAUCCCCAGCGCCGAGCUGCUCUCCUCCUCCGCGGACAGCGGCGGCGAGCUCAGGCGGCCGGAGGAGAGCGACGAGUUUGACUGCUGACGGCGGGAGGAGCCCGGGCCUGUGUGUGAUCGUCUCUCGGACCCCACGCCCACCCACGCGCCCGCCCGUACGCAGGGCAGCGUGUGGGUGUGUGGCACAGGAAGAUGGACGACGGGACUCGAAAUCCAGAUUUUGAUGAAGACUUCGAAUCUUGGCGUUCAGCUCUGGUUCUGCCCGUUUCUCGCCGUCUGCGCCUGUGUGUAGGCCGGCUGUGCCGCGCGCACGUCACCUGGUACUUCUGGAGAGUCACGGGGACUCCCCGACCCCUCUGACACGCUGGCGGAGCGCCGAGCUGCUGCAGGUUCCUCUCCGUGCUGAGUCCGGCUCGCAAGCCCUCGGACGACGCGGCGCGGUGCAGAAUUGGCCACGGAGUACUGGGCUCACACUGGAAGGAGCUCAUCCCCACAGAGGGAAUGGAAUCGCAGACCGGGAGCAGAAAGACGGCGGUAUUUCCGUGCGCGACGCUGUGCCGUUUGUGGGAAGGACAAGCUGGGAAGAAGUUCCGUGUUCCCGGAGCACGAUGGCCUCGAUCACGCCUCCUGGGAGAACCAGCAUCGGCGUUGAUUCAGAAUCCCCCCCCAGCAUUUGUGCAGAUCUCCAGCCUGGCCAGUCUGGAGUGGUGUCAGGCGGGGGGCUCUGAGGGGGGAGGUGCUGCUGUAUUCAUCUUGAACACUAUGUCCAGCCCUGCCGCCCCCCCGGGAGAAGAGGAGCGCGGAGCAGUGCCCAGGGGAACACCCGGGAGAAAGGUCUCUGCCCCGAGGGGUAGGUGUUGGGACAGACC
rnacentral:lncRNA from 1 species